UACGUAGGGGGCGAGCGUUGUCCGGAUUUACUGGGCGUAAAGCGCGCGCAGGCGGCCCUGUGCGCUGCCGGUGAAAGCUCCCGGCUUACCUGGGAGAGGUUCGGCAGGACGGCAAGGCUGGAGGGUGGGAGAGGUCGGUGGAAUUCCCGGUGUAGUGGUGAAAUGCGUAGAGAUCGGGAGGAACACCCGUAGCGAAGGCGGCCGACUGGACCACACCUGACGCUGAGGCGCGAAGGCCAGGGGAGCGAACAGG
rnacentral:rRNA from 1 species